rnacentral:misc_RNA from 1 species
GCACGAUAAACUUCCGCUUGUUGAUUUACACUCUCUAACUCGGCAGUCAAUUGACGGAUCUUUUGUUCCUUCUCUUCCUUGGAUUGACCUGAAUCUGCUAGAUCAAUAUCACCUUGAUCCACUACUUGAUUGCAUCCAUUUACUAAGUUGUUCACCAGAGUUUUAUCAGCAUUUUUCUUCUUUGCAGCAGCAACCUUUUUUGCAGCCUCUUUCAGAGCGUUCACAGCAAUAUUAUAAUGAUGAAUAGAUUUCGCCCCUUCUUCUACAAAUUUAAUUGCCUCCUGUCGCAAACUAUUAUGACGCAUAGUUAAAGACUCUUGAGAAUUGGUAGGUAACUCUAAACAAUGUUCCUCUACGGUGCUUCCACUGCCAGUCUUGGCAUUUAUUGUCCAACGUUUCAAAAUGUAUUGGGAAGGAAGCGUAAGAACAUUUUUGGCUCUGAACACAGAUAACACAUGUCUACAAAUUAUACCUGAAAAUUCAAACAUAAGACAGCUACAGUUAGCUGUCAACUCAAAUGUGUUGAACCUAACCGUGUGUGCCUUGUGCUCUUCCCCAAAUUUUGCAACAUGAUAUGUUGUGAUUGUUCCGGAUUCAUCAAUUUUAGUUGCAGGAUUCGCAAGGGUCUCAACCAGUUCCUCUUGAAAUUUAAUGAAAACCUUCCUAGUAUAGAGAUUAGCUGCUUGUUUUUCCAUAGGCGAUGGCGUCUUUAGAACUGGUGUAGUAUUAGUAGAGUCAAGAUCUGCCUUUAAUUCCUUUU